rnacentral:rRNA from 1 species
ACGCUAGCUACAGGCUUAACACAUGCAAGUCGAGGGCAGCGGGUUGAAAGCUUGCUUUCAAUGCCGGCGACCGGCGCACGGGUGCGUAACGCGUAUCAAACCUGCCUCAUACUCGGGGAUAGCCCUGCGAAAGUAAGAUUAAUACCCGAUGUUGUUGCUUUCUCGCAUGGGAGAGUAACCAAAGAUUUAUCGGUAUGAGAUGGUGAUGCGUCCGAUUAGGUAGUAGGCGGGGUAACGGCCCACCUAGCCUUCGAUCGGUAGGGGUUCUGAGAGGAAGGUCCCCCACACUGGAACUGAGACACGGUCCAGACUCCUACGGGAGGCAGCAGUGAGGAAUAUUGGUCAAUGGGCGAGAGCCUGAACCAGCCAAGUAGCGUGCAGGAUGACGGCCCUCCGGGUUGUGAACUGCUUUUAGUUGGGAAUAAAAAAAGGGACUUGUCCCUUCUUGUAUGUACCUUCAGAAAAAGGACCGGCUAAUUCCGUGCCAGCAGCCGCGGUAAUACGGAAGGUCCAGGCGUUAUCCGGAUUUAUUGGGUUUAAAGGGAGCGUAGGCGGAUUGUUAAGUCAGCGGUUAAAGGGUGUGGCUCAACCAUGCAUUGCCGUUGAAACUGGCGAUCUUGAGUGCAGACAGGGAUGCCGGAAUUCGUGGUGUAGCGGUGAAAUGCUUAGAAAUCACGAAGAACUCCGAUCGCGAAGGCAGGUGUCCGGGCUGCAACUGACGCUGAGGCUCGAAAGUGUGGGUAUCAAACAGGAUUAGAUACCCUGGUAGUCCACACAGUAAACGAUGUAUACUCGCGGUUUGCGAUAGAUUGUAAGCCGCCAAGCGAAAGCAUUAAGUAUACCACCUGGGGAGUACGCCGGCAACGGUGAAACUCAAAGGAAUUGACGGGGGCCCGCACAAGCGGAGGA